rnacentral:rRNA from 1 species
UACCAGCUCUCCGAGUGGUGUGGAUGUUUAUUGGGCCUAAAGCAUCCGUAGCUGGCUGGGCAAGUCCCCUGUUAAAUCCACCGAUUUAAUCGUUGGAGUGCGGGGGAUACUGUUCGGCUAGGGGACGGGAGAGGCAGACGGUAUUUUCGGGGUAGGGGUGAAAUCCUAUAAUCCCGGGAAGACCACCAGUGGCGAAGGCUGUCUGCUAGAACGCGCCCGACGGUGAGGGAUGAAAGCUGGGGGAGCGAACCGGAUUAGAUACCCGGGUAGUCCCAGCUGUAAACGAUGCAGGCUAGGUGUUUGGGCGGCCACGUGCCGCUCUAGUGCCGCAGGGAAGCCGUUAAGCCUGCCGCCUGGGGAGUACGGCCGCAAGGCUAGAAACUUAAAGGAAUUGGGCGGGGGAGCACCACGAAGGGGUGAAGCUUGCGGUUU